rnacentral:sRNA from 1 species
UGUGACGUACCUCUUGUUGCCUCGGCAGGCCUCGCGCCACCCUGUAGCCCCUACGCUGUAGGGCCUACCCGGGGAGUGCGGGGGUCCCUGCCGGCGGCCCGCAAAACUCUGUUUAGCACUGAAUUCUGAAUAUAUAACUAAAUAAGUUAAAACUUUCAACAACGGAUCUCUUGGUUCUGGCAUCGAUGAAGAACGCAGCGAAAUGCGAUAAGUAAUGUGAAUUGCAGAAUUCAGUGAAUCAUCGAAUCUUUGAACGCACAUUGCGCCCAUUAGUAUUCUAGUGGGCAUGCCUGUUCGAGCGUCAUUUCAACCCUUAAGCCCCUGUUGCUUAGCGUUGGGAGCCUACGGCAGCGUAGCUCCCCAAAGUUAGUGGCGUGGUCGGUUCACACUCCAGACGUAGUAAAUUAUCACCUCUCCUGUAGUCGGACCGGUCCCCUGCCGUAAAACACCCCAAUUUCUAAAGGCGGCGAGUGAAGCGGCAACAGCUCAAAUUUGAAAUCUGGCCCUCGGGUCCGAGUUGUAAUUUGUAGAGGAUGCUUUUGGCGCGGUGCCUUCCGAGUUCCCUGGAACGGGACGCCUUAGAGGGUGAGAGCCCCGUACGGUUGGACACCAAGCCUCUGUAAAGCUCCUUCGACGAGUCGAGUAGUUUGGGAAUGCUGCUCUAAAUGGGAGGUAAAUUUCUUCUAAAGCUAAAUAUUGGCCAGAGACCGAUAGCGCACAAGUAGAGUGAUCGAAAGAUGAAAAGCACUUUGAAAAGAGGGUUAAAUAGCACGUGAAAUUGUUGAAAGGGAAGCGUUUGCGACCAGACCUUUUCCUAGCGGAUCAUCCGGUGUUCUUCACCGGUGCACUUCGCUAGGUUGAGGCCAGCAUCGGUUUUCGUAGGGGGAUAAAAGCCCUGGGAACGUAGCUCCUCCGGGAGUGUUAUAGCCCUCUGCAUAAUACCCUUACGGGGACCGAGGACCGCGCUUUUAGCAAGGAUGCUGGCGUAAUGGUCGUCAACGACCCGUCUUGAAACACGGACCAAGGAGUCGAACAUUUGUGCGAGUGUUUGGGUGUUAAACCCUCACGCGUAAUGAAAGUGAACGGAGGUGAGAGCCCUUACGGGUGCAUCAUCGACCGAUCCUGAUGUCUUCGGAUGGAUUUGAGUAAGAGCAUA